ACGCGCUGUGUGCCCUGCUGGCACUGGGACCUGGGCAAUCCCAGUGUGACCCACCACCCUGGCCUUUCAGGCAUCCACAGCACAGAACGUGGCUGACCUUGGGGUGACACUGCUUUGGUUACCUGUCCCUGCUUUCUGACUUACCAGCUGACGGUGUGACCUUGAGCAAGAGACAGCCUCUCUGAGCCCAUUUUCUGUCUGCAAAAAGGAGGACUAUUUGCUCCCUUGCAGAGUUGCUAAGAGCCUGAGGAAGGAUAUUGCCUGUGAUGUACCUAGUACGGAGCCUGGGGCAUGAUGCACUGGCCAUUGAGUCUUUCCUGAUCCUCUGGAAAUGAACAUGGGAGGAGCUUCCUGGGAAAGCAUGGGCAAGACGGGAGAGGAGGAUGGUGCUUAGCAGGCCUCUCAGCUGCUGGACACAAACAGCAGCGGAUGGUCCCGAGUCCUGCACAUGCACGAUCAUCUCAAAUCAUUCUUCACCACGCCCCUGGGAAGGCGGCCUCACCCUGCACACAAGGAAACCCCUGAAUCAGGAACGGGUGACUUGGCUCUGACUUGCAAGGGGCCGAACUGGGAUUUGAACCCGGGUCAGCCUGAUUCUAGGCAAAACUGCCUCCCUGGAGAAGUACCUUCCAGCCCAUGUCAGGUUAACACUGACCGAGAGCUUUGUGGAUCAAGGGGGCCAAAGUUAGUUUCUCCAAAUGGACUGGAAUUGGAGCAGAUCUGGGAGGGGGGAUAUUUACGGGUUCCCGUGGCCAUUUUCGGGAGAAGGCAGACACAGUGAUCGUAGAGUUCAUUCGACUGGACUCGCUCAGGAUGGAGAGAUAAAAGAGAGAGAGGAAGGAGCAAGAGAAAGAGGAUGGAUGGAGGGUCAUUCCACGGGGAGGGCCACUCUGCCCACUAGCUGCUGAUCAGCUUUGUGUGCAGUUGGUGCCCAUGAACCUCUGCAGGUGGCAGGCAGCCUCAGUUCCACAUGCCCCUCUCACUCUCACUGCCCUGUAAAGAUACUGAUUUUCAUUCUGCCCAGUGCAGAAACCCUCCAGGUGUGAGACGUAGAGGAAAGAGCACCAGGCCGGGGUCACAAAAACCAGGUACUGGCCCUGUCUUAGACCUUGA
rnacentral:lncRNA from 1 species